rnacentral:rRNA from 1 species
CAGUAGCCACGGGAAUACGGAGGGGGCUAGCGUUGUUCGGAAUUACUGGGCGUAAAGCGCACGUAGGCGGCUUGGUAAGUUAGAGGUGAAAGCCUGGAGCUCAACUCCAGAAUUGCCUUUAAGACUGCCGAGCUAGCAGGUGAGAGAGGUAAGUGGAAUUCCGAGUGUAGAGGUGAAAUUCGUAGAUAUUCGGAAGAACACCAGUGGCGAAGGCGGCUUACUGGCUCAUACUGGACGCUGAGGCACGAAAGCGUGGGGAGCAAACAGGAUUAGAUACCCCUGUAGUCCCUGUCUCUUAUAC